AUUGAACGCUGGCGGCAUGCCUUACACAUGCAAGUCGAACGGUAACAGGUCUUCGGAUGCUGACGAGUGGCGAACGGGUGAGUAAUACAUCGGAACGUGCCUAGUAGUGGGGGAUAACUACUCGAAAGAGUGGCUAAUACCGCAUGAGAUCUACGGAUGAAAGCAGGGGAACGCAAGACCUUGUGCUACUAGAGCGGCCGAUGGCAGAUUAGGUAGUUGGUGGGAUAAAAGCUUACCAAGCCGACGCUCUGUAGCUGGUCUGAGAGGACGAUCAGCCACACUGGGACUGAGACACGGCCCAGACUCCUACGGGAGGCAGCAGUGGGGAAUUUUGGACAAUGGGCGAAAGCCUGAUCCAGCAAUGCCGCGUGCAGGAUAAAGGCCUUCGGGUUGUAAACUGCUUUUGUACGGAACGAAAAGCCCCGGGUUAAUACCCUGGGGUCAUGACGGUACCGUAAGAAUAAGCACCGGCUAACUACGUGCCAGCCGCCGCGGUAA
rnacentral:rRNA from 1 species